CGGGGCCGUGGCGCAGAGGCCGACGCGCCGGGUCUCCACAACCAAGAGGACGCUGGUUCGCAUCCAGCCGCUCCGUCC
rnacentral:tRNA from 1 species